GAUGAACGCUGGCGGCGUGCCUAAUACAUGCAAGUCGAGCGAACAGAUGAGGAGCUUGCUCCUCUGACGUUAGCGGCGGACGGGUGAGUAACACGUGGAUAACCUACCUAUAAGACUGGGAUAACUUCGGGAAACCGGAGCUAAUACCGGAUAAUAUAUUGAACCGCAUGGUUCAAUAGUGAAAGACGGUUUUGCUGUCACUUAUAGAUGGAUCCGCGCCGCAUUAGCUAGUUGGUAAGGUAACGGCUUACCAAGGCAACGAUGCGUAGCCGACCUGAGAGGGUGAUCGGACACACUGGAACUGAGACACGGUCCAGACUCCUACGGGAGGCAGCAGUAGGGAAUCUUCCGCAAUGGGCGAAAGCCUGACGGAGCAACGCCGCGUGAGUGAUGAAGGUCUUCGGAUCGUAAAACUCUGUUAUUAGGGAAGAACAAAUGUGUAAGUAACUAUGCACGUAUUGACGGUACCUAAUCAGAAAGCCACGGCUAACUACGUG
rnacentral:rRNA from 1 species